AUUGAACGCUGGCGGCAGGCCUAACACAUGCAAGCCGAGCGGAUGACGGGAGCUUGCUCCUUGAUUCAGCGGCGGACGGGUGAGUAAUGCCUAGGAAUCUGCCUGGUAGUGGGGGACAACGUUGCGAAAGGAACGCUAAUACCGCAUACGCCCUACGGGAGAAAGCGGGGGACCUUGGGGCCUGGCGCUAUACGAUGAGCCUGGGUCGGAUUAGCGAGUUGGUGGGGUAAUGGCUCACCAAGGCGACGAUCCGAAACUGGUCUGAGAGGAUGAUCAGUCACACUGGGACUGAGACACGGUCCAGACUCCUACGGGAGGCAGCAGUGGGGAAUAUUGGACAAUGGGCGAAAGCCUGAUCCAGCCAUGCCGCGUGUGUGAAGAAGGUCUUCGGAUUGUAAAGCACUUUAAGUUGGGAGGAAGGGCAGUAAGCUAAUACCUUGCUGUUUUGACGUUACCGACAGAAUAAGCACCGGCUAACUCUGUGCCAGCCGCCGCCGUAA
rnacentral:rRNA from 1 species